CACGAACGCUGGCGGCAGGCUUAACACAUGCAAGUCGAGCGCCCCGCAAGGGGAGCGGCAGACGGGUGAGUAACGCGUGGGAAUCUACCCAUCUCUACGGAAUAACGCAUGGAAACGUGUGCUAAUACCGUAUACGUCCUUCGGGAGAAAGAUUUAUCGGAGACGGAUGAGCCCGCGUUGGAUUAGCUAGUUGGUGGGGUAAGGGCCUACCAAGGCGACGAUCCAUAGCUGGUCUGAGAGGAUGAUCAGCCACACUGGGACUGAGACACGGCCCAGACUCCUACGGGAGGCAGCAGUGGGGAAUAUUGGACAAUGGGCGCAAGCUUGAUCCAGCCAUGCCGCGUGAGUGAUGAAGGCCCUAGGGUUGUAAAGCUCUUUCACCGGUGAAGAUAAUGACGGUAACCGGAGAAGAAGCCCCGGCUAACUUCGUGCCAGCAGCCGCAGUAACAC
rnacentral:rRNA from 1 species